ncrna:Nicotiana tabacum cultivar TN90 Ntab-TN90_scaffold1371, whole genome shotgun sequence
GGUUCCUUCGAGGACAUUCAAAAAAAAUUGGAAUGAUAUAAAGAAAUUAGCAUGGCCCCUACGCAAGGAUGACACACACAAAUUGAGAAAUGGUUCAAAUUUUU